rnacentral:rRNA from 1 species
UNUGACUUGAGUGCAGAAGGGGAGAGUGGAAUUCCAUGUGUAGCGGUGAAAUGCGUAGAUAUAUGGAGGAACACCAGUGGCGAAAGCGGCUCUCUGGUCUGUCACUGACGCUGAGGCUCGAAAGCGUGGGUAGCGAACAGGAUUAGAUACCCUGGUAGUCCACGCCGUAAACGAUGAGUGCUAGGUGUUAGGCCCUUUCCGGGGCUUAGUGCCGGAGCUAACGCAAUAAGCACUCCGCCUGGGGAGUACGACCGCAAGGUUGAAACUCAAAGGAAUUGACGGGGGCCCGCACAAGCGGUGGAGCAUGUGGUUUAAUUCGAAGCAACGCGAAGAACCUUACCAGGUCUUGACAUCCCGAUGCUAUUCUUAGAGAUAGGAAGUUACUUCGGUACAUCGGAGACAGGUGGUGCAUGGUUGUCGUCAGCUCGUGUCGUGAGAUGUUGGGUUAAGUCCCGCAACGAGCGCAACCCUUAUUGUUAGUUGCCAUCAUUAAGUUGGGCACUCUAGCAAGACUGCCGGUAAUAAACCGGAGGAAGGUGGGGAUGACGUCAAAUCAUCAUGCCCCUUAUGACCUGGGCUACACACGUGCUACAAUGGUCGGUACAACGAGUUGCGAGCCGGUGACGGCAAGCUAAUCUCUGAAAGCCGAUCUCAGUUCGGAUUGGAGGCUGCAACUCGCCUCCAUGAAGUCGGAAUCGCUAGUAAUCGCGGAUCAGCACGCCGCGGUGAAUACGUUCCCGGGCCUUGUACACACCGCCCGUCACACCACGAGAGUUUGUAACACCCGAAGUCGGUGAGGUAACCUUUUAGGG